GAUGAACGCUGGCGGCGUGCCUAAUACAUGCAAGUCGAGCGAACAGAUGGGGAGCUUGCUCCUCUGACGUUUGCGGCGGACGGGUGAGUCACACGUGGAUCCCCUCCCUAUACGACUGAGAUAACUUCGAGACACCGGAGCUAAUACCGGAUAAUAUAUUGAACCAUGUGGUUCGCUAGUGAGAGACAGUUUUGCUAUCACUUAUAGAUGCAUCCGCGCAGUAUUUGCUAGUUGGUAAGGUAACGGCUUACCAAGGCAACGAUGAGUAGCCGACCUGAGAGGGGGAUCGGCCACACUGGAACUGAGACACGGUCCAGACUCCUACGGGAGGCAGCAGUAGGGAAUCUUCGGCAAUGGGCGAAAGCCUGACGGAGCAACGCCGCGUGAUGGAUGAAGUUUUUCGGAUCUAAAAACUCGGUUAUUAGGGAAGAACAAAUGGGUAAGUAACUAUGCACGUCGUGACGGUACCUUAUCAGAAAGCCACGGCUAACUACGUG
rnacentral:rRNA from 1 species